rnacentral:lncRNA from 1 species
CUACAUUGUGAUCAGUGUAGUUGUGUACCUGAUAAUUUGAACAAAGGAAAUAAGUAGAGGAAAAUCAGUAGAAGCAGCAGUAGCAUAAGCAGCAACACAGCAACACAGUAACAAACAAUGGCCGAAAUCCCAGGAGUAGAUUGAAACAAAGAGAAGAGCCCAGUAACUCAAUCAAACAGUGCUUGAAAACCAAACACAAAUCCCAGGAAAUACAAAAUUCAGACCAAACAGUAUCACCAAGCUAUUACAGUCCAAGCAGAAAAGAGACAUGUGCAAAAACACUAUAGCCGUCUGAUUAUGAACCCUCAAAAAAGAAAACAAGCUGAAGCUUUACUGAUUUUUAACCACAAAAUAA